AUUGAACGCUGGCGGCAUGCCUAACACAUGCAAGUCGAACGAGUGGCGGACGGGUGAGUAAUGUCUGGGAAACUGCCUGAUGGCGGGGGAUAACUACUGGAAACGGUAGCUAAUACCGCAUACCAUCGGAUGUGCCCAGAUGGGAUUAGCUAGUAGGGGGGGUAAAGGCUCACCUAGGCGACGAUCCCUAGCUGGUCUGAGAGGAUGACCGGCCACGCUGGAACUGAGACGCGGUCCAGACUCAUACGGGAGGCAGCAGUGGGGAAAAUUGCACAAUGGGCGCAAGCCUGAUGCAGCAAAGCCGCGUGUAUGAAGAAGGCCUUCGGGUUGUAAAGUACUUUCAGCGAAGAGGCGUUACCAGCAGAAGAAGCACCGGCUAACUCCGUGCCAGCAGCCGCAGUAAUUC
rnacentral:rRNA from 1 species